rnacentral:lncRNA from 1 species
AAGACGGAGUAUGAUACACAGGUCUUCUUUAUUAAUUUUGUAUUUAAAUGUGGAUUAUUUUGAUUUUCUUUUCUUAGGGUGUCAAUAUAAGUGGAGGGCAGAAGCAGAGAGUGAGCCUUGCUAGAGCUGUGUACAGCAAUGCUGAUUUGUAUCUCCUCGAUGACCCCCUGUCUGCUGUAGAUGUACAUGUUGGAAAACAUCUUUUUGAGAAGCUAAUUGGCCCUUCAGGUCUCCUAAAAGGCAAGACUCGUCUACUGGUGACCCAUAACCUCACCCUCCUACCUCACACCGAUCUAAUAUUAGUGAUGGAAGAGGGCAGAAUAAGUCAAAUGGGAACCUACCAAGAACUCAUUUCAAGGAGAGCUAAUUUCACUGAGCUUGUUCAGGUCUUCAGUGCAGAGCAUACAAGUGAAGAGACAAACAGAGUGGACGUGAGUUCUUCAAAGGAAGAAGGUCAGCUGGGCAGGAGUUUGCAACAGAAAGGGCUGCGGAAACAUAACGACUCUUCCUCUGAUCAGUGGAAAAUACGCACUAACAAUAAAGAGAAAGUUGCUGCUGGG